rnacentral:lncRNA from 1 species
CCAGGGCAACCUUACAGAAUGAUGAAUAACAAAAUCUGAUCAUCAAUAAAUAUCACAUCUAAUUGAAUCGAUCAAAGGAGGCUCUGAUACUACUGUUGGGUUUUGGGUCAUGCAACGGAAGACUAAAUUUCAAAAUUUUAUGAAAUCCAAUAAUCUCAAAAACCAAAAGCCUAGGAUCUCCCCUGGUAUAUUCAAUCAAACAUAUAUGCCUAUAAGUGAGGUUCAGAUAUGAAAUCUUAGGUCGGUG